GUCUUGCUAUGUUGCCCAGGCUGGUCUUGAACUCCUCACCUCAAGCGAUCCUCUCGUCUUGGCCUCCCAAGUGUCAGGAUUACAGGUCACAGAAUUUUCCACACUCCUUGACGGAGGUGCUUAACCCUUAUCCAUCAGCAUUCUCAGACAGCACCUCCGGUUAGGGACAGUAUCUGACCGUCCGACAUCCCUGCAGCCCCCAUGUGUCACACAGACUCAGCCUCAGGUAGAUGGUUUCCGUAGAUGGUGGCUUUCUUUGGACCCUUGACAUCAACCAGUUACUAUUUGACUCUUCUGCAGAACCCCCUGUUGACCCCUGCUUUGAGGUGGCAGAGUUAACACUACUCUUCGUUAUAAGCUCUCGUCUGGGGCAACUCAG
rnacentral:lncRNA from 1 species